rnacentral:rRNA from 1 species
GACGAACGCUGGCGGCGUGCUUAACACAUGCAAGUCGAACGAAGUGGCGAACGGGUGAGCAACGCGUAAUCAACCUGCCCUUCAGAGGGGGACAACAGUUGGAAACGACUGCUAAUACCGCAUACUGAAGGAGGGGAUUGCGUCUGAUUAGCUAGUUGGAGGGGGAACGGCCCACCAAGGCGAUGAUCAGUAGCCGGGCGGGGAGGGUGAACGGCUACAUGGGGACUGGGGAACGGCCCAGACUCCUUCGGGAGGCAGCAGGGGGGAAUCUUCCGCAAUGGACGGAAGUCUGACGGAGCAACGCCGCGUGAGUGAUGACAGCCUUCGGGUUGGAAAGCUCUGUUAAUCGGGACGCGGUACCGGAAUAGAAAGCCACGGCUAACUACGUGCCAGCAGCCGCGGUAAUUC